CCUACGGGAGGCAGCAGUGGGGAAUAUUGCACAAUGGGCGCAAGCCUGAUGCAGCAACGCCGCGUGAGGGAUGACGGCCUUCGGGUUGUAAACCUCUUUUAGCAGGGAAGAAGCGAGAGUGACGGUACCUGCAGAAAAAGCACCGGCUAACUACGUGCCAGCAGUCGCGGUAAUACGUAGGGUGCAAGCGUUAUCCGGAAUUAUUGGGCGUAAAGAGCUCGUAGGCGGUUUGUCGCGUCUGCUGUGAAAUCUGGGGGCUCAACCCCCAGCCUGCAGUGGGUACGGGCAGACUAGAGUGCGGUAGGGGAGAUUGGAAUUCCUGGUGUAGCGGUGGAAUGCGCAGAUAUCAGGAGGAACACCGAUGGCGAAGGCAGAUCUCUGGGCCGUAACUGACGCUGAGGAGCGAAAGGGUGGGGAGCAAACAGGCUUAGAUACCCUGGUAGUCCGCCCGUAAACGUUGGGAACUAGUUGUGGGGUCCAUUCCACGGAUUCCGUGACGCAGCUAACGCAUUAAGUUCCCCGCUGGGGAUACGGCCNCAAGGGCUAAAACUUAAGGAAUUGACGG
rnacentral:rRNA from 1 species